GAUGAACGCUGGCGGCGUGCCUAAUACAUGCAAGUCGAGCGAACGGACGCGAAGCUUGCUUUUCUGAUGUUAGCGGCGGACGGGUGUGUCACACGAGGAUACCCUCCCUAUCAUACUGGUAUCACUUCGGGACACCGGAGCUAACCCCGGAUAAUCUCUUGCACCGCAUGGUUCAAUAGUGAAAUACGGUCUUGCUGUCACUACUAGAUGCUUCCGGGCUGCAUUAGCUGGUUGGUAGGGUCACGGCUUACCAAGGCGAGGAUGCCUAGCCGACCUGAGGGGGGGAUCGGCCGCACGGGAACUGAGACACGGUCCAGGCGCCUAAGGGAGGGAGCAGUAGGGAAUCUGCCGCAGUGGGCGAGAGCCUGACGGAGCAACGGCGCGUGAGUGACGAAGGUCUUCGGAUCGUAAAGCUCUGUUAUGAGGGAAGAACAUAUGUGGAAGGAACUGUGCAGAUCGUGACGGUACCGAAUCAGAAAGCAACGGCUAACUACGUG
rnacentral:rRNA from 1 species